AUUGAACGCUGGCGGCAUGCCUUACACAUGCAAGUCGAACGGUAGCAGGUCUUCGGAUGCUGACGAGUGGCGAACGGGUGAGUAAUACAUCGGAACGUGCCUAGUAGUGGGGGAUAACUACUCGAAAGAGUGGCUAAUACCGCAUGAGAUCUACGGAUGAAAGCAGGGGAUCGCAAGACCUUGUGCUACUAGAGCGGCCGAUGGCAGAUUAGGUAGUUGGUGGGAUAAAAGCUUACCAAGCCGACGACCUGUAGCUGGUCUGAGAGGACGAUCAGCAACACUGGGACUGAGACACGGCCAAGACUCCUACGGGAGGCAGCAGUGGGGAAUUUUGGACAAUGGGCGAAAGCCUGAUCCAGCAAUGCCGCGUGCAGGAUGAAGGCCUUCGGGUUGUAAACUGCUUUUGUACGGAACGAAAAGCCCUGGGUUAAUACCCUGGGGUCAUGACGGUACCGUAAGAAUAAGCACCGGCUAACUACGUGCCAGCCGCCGCCGUAA
rnacentral:rRNA from 1 species